UCUUUUGACCCUGGGUAGAGUUUAGACCCAGAAUUACUAAAUCACGCAAGGAAAGGCAUAAAAUACUCAGACCUGUGAUCAGUCGGAUGAAGGAAGAAAAACAGUUAAAUCUUCAGAAAAAUCCUAUCAUCACUUUCCAGAGGCCAUGUCUCCAAUCCUUCCCGUUCCUGGAUAACUGCUUUGGACAGGUUUCUUUUGGUAUGAGGAUGAAAUAUUUCUCUGAUGUCAGUUUCACUUCUGAAGUUCUACGUCUCAGGAUGUAUUUUCUCACUUCAUCGUAGGUUGGAUGAGGCAUAUUCUAUAAGAACAUGACUAAUCUGGAAACAUGUUUUACGUGACUGCACAUAUAUACCCUAUAAUAAAAUUGCUUACCAUCUCGAGGAAGGAAGAGAA
rnacentral:lncRNA from 1 species